AUCAAAGGCAGUAUCGUAGCCAAUGAGGUUUAUCCGAGGCGCGAUUAUUGCUAAUUGAAAAUAGAGAUAACAAAAAAAGAAUCAAUGGACGUGACGAUAUGUCAAUAGAAAAUUUCCAAUCUGAACAAAAAG
rnacentral:snRNA from 1 species